rnacentral:rRNA from 1 species
UACAUGGGGUGCAAACGUUGCUCGGAAUUAUUGGGCGUAAAGCGCGCGUAGGCGGCUACUUAAGUCGGAUGUGAAAGCCCGCGGCUUAACUGAGGAAGUGCACCCGAAACUGAGUAGCUUGAGUACUAAAGAGGGUCGCGGAAUUCCCGGUGUAGAGGUGAAAUUCGUAGAUAUCGGGAGGAACACCGGUGGCGAAGGCGGCGACCUGGGUCGAGACUGACGCUGAGGCGCGAAAGCGUGGGGAGCAAACGGG